CAGCAGCCACGGGAACACGGAGGGUGCAAGCGUUAAUCGGAAUUACUGGGCGUAAAGCGCACGCAGGCGGUCUGACAAGUCAGAUGUGAAAUCCCCGGGCUUAACCUGGGAACUGCAUUUGAAACUGUCAGGCUGGAGUCUUGUAGAGGGGGGUAGAAUUCCAGGUGUAGCGGUGAAAUGCGUAGAGAUCUGGAGGAAUACCGGUGGCGAAGGCGGCCCCCUGGACAAAGACUGACGCUCAGGUGCGAAAGCGUGGGGAGCAAACAGGAUUAGAUACCCCAGUAGUCCCUGUCUCUUAUAC
rnacentral:rRNA from 1 species